GGCGAAGCCUGAUGCAGCACGCCGCGUGAGUGAAGAAGGUUUUCGGAUUGUAAAGCUCUGUCUUUGGGGACGAUAAUGACGGUACCCAAGGAGGAAGCCACGGCUAACUACGUGCCAGCAGCCGCGGUAAUAC
rnacentral:rRNA from 1 species